rnacentral:rRNA from 1 species
GCUGGCGGCGCGCAUAAACAUGCAAGUCGAGCGAGGGCUCAUUCCCCGCAAGGGGAGUGGGUUCCUAGCGGCGAACGGGUGAGUAACACGUGGGCAACCUUUCCUAUCGCGGGGGAUAACAGCGGGAAACCGCUGCUAAUACCGCAUGUCGUCACCGGUCGCAUGGCCGGUGAAAAAAGCAGCAAUGCACGAUGGGGUGGGCCCGCGGCCUAUCAGCUAGUCGGUGGGGUCACGGCCUACCGAGGCGAUGACGGGUAGCUGGUCUGAGAGGACGACCAGCCACACGGGGACUGAGACACGGCCCCGACUCCUACGGGAGGCAGCAGUGAGGAAUCUUCCGCAAUGGGCGAAAGCCUGACGGAGCGACGCCGCGUGUGGGAUGAAGUCCUUCGGGAUGUAAACCACUGUUGGAGGGGAAGAUAGUGACGGUACCCUCCGAGAAAGCCCCGGCUAACUACGUGCCAGCAGCCGCGGUAAUACGUAGGGGGCUAGCGUUAUCCAGAAUUACUGGGCGUAAAGCGCGUGUAGGCGGCUGGUUAAGUGUGAUGUGAAAUCUUCGGGCUCAACCCGAAAACUGC